rnacentral:misc_RNA from 1 species
GAUGAAGAACGUAGCGAAAUGCGAUAAGUAGUGUGAAUUGCAGAAUUCAGUGAAUCAUCGAAUCUUUGAACGCACAUUGCGCCCCUUGGUAUUCCAUGGGGCAUGCCUGUUCGAGCGUCAUUUGUACCUUCAAGCUUUGCUUGGUGUUGGGUGUUUGUCUCGCCUUUGCGUGUAGACUCGCCUUAAAAUAAUUGGCAGCCGGCGUAUUGAUUUCGGAGCGCAGUACAUCUCGCGCUUUGCACUCAUAACGACAGCGUCCAAAAGUACAUUUUACACUCUUGACCUCGGAUCAGGUAGGGAUACCCGCUGAACUUAAGCAUAUCAAUAAACGGAGGA